rfam:Mycobacterium abscessus subsp. abscessus strain 57 genome assembly, contig: ERS244815SCcontig000019
UAAAAAAUAAAAGAUGGAAAAUAUACAGAGAUUUCUCUCACAGAGAGCUUGUGGUUGCUGAAAACAAGCAGAGAAAGCUGUAAGGUUGGGUCCAUCUGAAAUGAGAGAAGAAAACAUAAUUCUCAAGGGAGUGCCCUUUAUCGCACAACCUGUUACAGGAGCUAUCUGAGACAGGAAUGAGAGAUAGGAGAAAUCCUAUAAUUGAGGUGGCACCGCGAAUUUCGUCCUCACG